rnacentral:rRNA from 1 species
AGUGAACGCUGGCGGUAGGCCUAACACAUGCAAGUCGAACGGCAGCACAGUAAGAGCUUGCUCUUACGGGUGGCGAGUGGCGGACGGGUGAGGAAUACAUCGGAAUCUACUUUUUCGUGGGGGAUAACGUAGGGAAACUUACGCUAAUACCGCACACGACCUACGGGUGAAAGCAGGGGAUCUUCGGACCUUGCGCGAUUGAAUGAGCGGAUGUCGGAUUAGCUAGUUGGCGGGGUAAAGGCCCACCAAGGCGACGAUCCGUAGCUGGUCUGAGAGGAUGAUCAGCCACACUGGAACUGAGACACGGUCCAGACUCCUACGGGAGGAAGCAGUGGGGAAUAUUGGACAAUGGGCGCAAGCCUGAUCCAGCCAGACCGCGUGGGUGAAGAAGGCCUUCGGGUUGUAAAGCCCUUUUGUUGGGAAAGAAAAGCAGCAGGUUAAUACCCCGCUGUUCUGACGGUACCCAAAGAAUAAGCACCGGCUAACUUCGUG